rnacentral:lncRNA from 1 species
UGCAUGCUCACCUUAGUGUUGCUGGUCCCAGAGACUGGGCAUUGUUGGGAGGAAAUACGGACACAAACAGACUCAUAGCUAUUCAUAUGCAUGUGGCAGGCACAGAAACAGUGGCUUGCUGAGUAGCUAGAAAUAGGGACUCAUACACUCUGCGUCAGCAGGGAGACAGGGAGAGAAGAAGCUUGUAUGGGAAGGAUGAAUCAGUUUCCUCAGGAAAGACAGAUAGGCUCAUACAGGAGCAGAACCGAAGGGCGCCGAACCAAGUAGAAAGUGUGUAGCGAAGUGUGUCUGCAGAACGGGUAGAAAGUGUGUGAUGAUGUGUGUCUGUAGAACGGGUGGAAAGUGCGUGAUGACGUGUGUCUGUAGAACGGGUGGAAAGUGCGUGAUGACGUGUCUGUAGAACGGGUGGAAAGUGCGUGAUGACGUGUGUCUGUAGAACGGGUGGAAAGUGCGUGAUGAUGU